UUUUUUUUUUUUUUUUUUUUUUUUUUUUUUUAAUCGAUUACCCUAUGUGAGUUUUUUGAGGUAAAGAUGACAACUCCAGCAGUGAAAACCGGUUUGUUCGUUAGAUUGAACAAAGGACAUGUCGUCCCAAUUUUCAGAAAGGGUGAAGGAGAUGAAUUUGGUAAGAGAACUGGAAAUAGAUUUGAAGAUUGCAAAUGUCAUCUUAGUUGUGCAGGUUUUUGUGUGUUUCUUGCUGGAAUGGAAGACGAAAUUUGGCUUCUUUUAUGAAUGGGGCUUCAAGAGAUCUUAUUGUACACUUAUUCCAAAAAGAAACAAACUCUUCUGGUAUAAUUCUCUAUUUAUUUCAGACAUCUGGACUCUGCUGGUCUGGUCUUUAGUUUAAUCUAUUUUCUUGAAAUUUUUUAUGUGUUA